AUAUAUAUAUUGAUUUAUAUCCUCGUUUUUUAAUUAAAUUCAUCGUAUUGUCUAUCUCUAAUUUAUCCAUGCGUCAAGAUUUCGUCGGGAAGCUAAGAAGACAGUUUGGCACGAUUAACGAGGCAUGCUGUACAUAAUAAAAUCAUGUCGCAGAGAGCACUUGCGUGCAUUUCCCCACCAUUCGCAAGAAAUUCAGUGUCAUCUGCGAGACGCUGUUUGACGAACAGCUUUAUAUUGAGGUCGCAACUAACAAUCAGAGAUCACACAAUCGCGAUCCUCCAAAUAAUCCCGAAAUGAGACUACAAGUUUGUUUUUGCACUUACAUACCAUUAGUGUCGAUCCACAAUAAGGAUUUUAAACCCUAAGCAGUAAAAAAAAGCAAUCACAGUCAAAUAUGAGGAAAAUAAUUAAUUGUAAUUGGUCAAUAUCUUACGGUAUAAGGCUUAAAAAUUUUAUUGUGGACCGACACUUAUAGAAUGCAAAAGAGCAAAAAAAUCGCCCAUAAGUUUCACAAUUUUCCGUACGAAGUGCAUCUUUUCCUUCGAAGUAAUUCGCAAGUUAUAGGCUAAACGCGCUUUAUAUUCCAGAACAAUAUCGCUAUUAUUUUACACUCCCGUUAACGUGAAUUUAUUCCGUAAUCUCAAAAUCUCGCGAGGUCGAUAUUUGUGGUGUCGAGAAACUUGCGCGUAGUCGCAGGCCGCAGGUCCUCGCCUGAUGUAAUACCGACGACGAGAGUUUGCUGAAUAACAAGCGAAUUACAAUGCGAUGACUAAUGUCGCCGCUGCGACAUGGCGAGGAAUGGCCGUUUUGCCUUUGCCUCGAAGACUCUCGCGCCUAUAGCGGUCGUUCAUUACGAAGCGGUCGUCAUCCUCGUCGUUAUUUCACGUCACGUCACGUCACGACGAGCGGACGAGUGCGGAAACACCGUUCAACGGAGAAGCUGCCAGACUUUCUACAGACGAUGUGGAAUCGAUGAGCGGAAUUUUUUACGCGAACACGAAGACACACGACGGAGACCACGCCGGCUGUCGCCGGUUAGGAUCUUUUGAGAGGAAAAAAAACAUAUACAUAUAUCAAGAAAAAGAAGACUUGAAUCCGGAUAAAUGGAUAGAUAUGGGAGAGUGAUGGAUGAAUCUGAACGCACUGUUCGUAGAACUGAUUCGGAUAUCGUCGAGAAACUAGUACAAAAUCGAGAGCUUUACUAUUUCGAAGGGACUCACGAUCCUUGCGACGCGAAAAAUCUCAGAUCUGCUGAUUCCGGCGAGAUCGAGCGCUCGACGCGUCAACGCCCAGCACUGACGAAUACUGCCCUCCCCCCUCCCCCCCCCCCCGAUAAAUUUGUAAACCGAAGUUAUUGGAAUUGUCCUGUCUCUGUAUGAGGGAAAGGAUAUAGAAAUAUAUCGACAUUUUUAGAUUAAUCACAUGUGUAUUAAUUUGCACUCGAUACGAUGAAUCGAGGUUGUUGCCAAUAAAUUUAUUACGAUCGGA